UACGUAGGGUGCAAGCGUUAAUCGGAAUUACUGGGCGUAAAGCGUGCGCAGGCGGUUGUGCAAGACCGAUGUGAAAUCCCCCGGGCUUAACCUGGGAAUGGCAUUGGUGACUGCACGGCUAGAGUGUGUCAGAGGGGGGGUAGAAUUCCACGUGUAGCAGUGAAAAUGCGUAGAGAUGUGGAGGAAUACCGAUGGCGAAGGCAGCCCCCUGGGAUAACACUGACGCUCAUGCACGAAAAGCGUGGGGGAGCAAACAGG
rnacentral:rRNA from 1 species